GUUGUGUAAUUUUAUCUGCUUUCUACUUUCCUCCUUUCUAAAGUUGGUGGUUUAUAAGCCUAACCUCAAAUUAACAUGGCAAAAGUUGAGUUCAUUAAUUCACUUGAUAGACGUGAUAGAAAUCAAAUAAUGUUGUAUCUUUAUCUGAUCAUUGCUACAGUUUGCCUUCUAUUUGUUUCAGAUUAUAUUUCUUUUAUUGGAUGCACAAAUAACACUGCUCAUUAUAUUAUAAAGAGAUAUUUUUGCAAGAAAAAUUCUAGAACCGACAAUUAGUUUGGGAGUAAUUAAUAAUUAUAGAACUACUGGAGAAUACUUCUAUUCGAGGUGCAAGACAUUUUUACAAAAGGAGAUGACUUUUGAGUUUUUCCCAUGCAAGUUAAUUAUAGGUUUUUUUAUUGGAUUACUAGCUGAACAUAAUUCAAUUUUAGUCUGCCCAUGAGUUGGCUGUAAUUUGGGUAUGAUGGUGCAAACUAAUCAAUGCAGCAGGCAAUAGCGAAUUCACAACAACAGCUAGGAAAGCAAUAGUCUGCAUUUCUCUUUCGUACUGACUAAAGAGUAGCAAAUAUAUCAGUAUACAACAGCAAAAUUGUAUGUAAUGCAAAAUCCAGCAGCAAUGCAUGAAGCGAUCAACCCAGCUUGGUAUAGCAUCCCCGGCCGCCUGUUGCUCCUCUUCACCGCAUCCCCGGAACUUCACCGCAUCCCAGAAAUUCAAUAUUCAGAUUAAGUACUUAAGAUGAUCUUAUAGUUUUGAGAUAUUAUGCGGCUAUUUUUUCUAUGAUAUGUAAUCUAUGUUAAAUGGCAGCUCCAGCAGCGGCAUCGCACGUGAAGGGCAUGCGAUGGUGAACACUCUCAAGUGCCCUCUGCUAUAUUUUAUACCAGGGAGACAAGCUGGAGCUCGAUGAGCUUGAUAUUACUUGAUGAGAACAUGACGUAAUCUCUUCAUGAGGGAGAGAAUAACGUUCAAUUAGUAGCAACAAAGCGCGGUUCAUCAAUUGUGGAAGACAAGUGUAUGUAGUAUGUACCCGCACCCGUAAUAUGUAUUGAUUAUUCAUUCGGCUUCAAUUGGUUAUUUGGUUUUUGUUUUGUUACAUGAACAAGAAAUUAAGACACUUGAGAGUUGAGAAGAACUGUAAUUUGUAUGCACCCAUAGAUUUCACAGGCCGUUGUUGACACUGACAUUGAAGUUGUUGUUGUGCUACAAGGACUUGGUACCAAAUCCUGAAUGGAACACUUAUUGAGACUUAUUUCUGUAAGUGUUAGUUUUA